rnacentral:tRNA from 1 species
GGGGAUGUAGCUUAGUGAUAUAGCUCUCACCUAGCAUGUGUGUGGUCCUGGAUUGAAUCCCCAGCACUGCAA